CUCUCACCCAUCUCAACCUCAAGCCCCCGGCCAGACUACCCUUCCCUUCGAUCACCUGCACAGCGCCAGCGUGCAGGGAUUUAUACUAUUGAUUUCAUCAAGUUUUGCAACUAAAGUUUAGUCAGCCAAUAAAUUCUGUGGAUGCUAGUGUUGUCGUCACACUUGAGAACUACUCUAUAUUGGUUUUGUCAGAAAGAAUGAUGGAGAUAGAAUCAAUUUCCAAGGGAGAUGAGGAUAUUGGCUACAACAGCAGCAAUGUAAAGAAGGCAAAACUGCAGUCAACACUCGCAGCUCUUCUUGAUGAUCCUAUUCUCACUGAUCUCCCUAAGAAACCGACCUUAUCCGAUGUUGAUACUCUCAUUAGCGUUGAAUUGGGCAGUGCUAUGCGCAUCUCCGUCCUCAAACUAGAUGGCACCUCCUUUGAUGUGGCAGUGAUGAAUUCGGCAACAGUCAAAGAUUUGAAGCUUGCGAUCAAGAGGAAAGUGAUUGAAAUGGAGCAAUCCAAGAUGGGUCAUCGCCAUAUUUCGUGGAAGCAUGUUUGGGCAAAUUUUGCCAUAUCCUACCACAAUCAAAAGCUCCUUGAUGACAACUCUGCACUUCAUGGUUUUGGCAUCUGCACUAAUUCUCAGGUUAAUUUUGCCCCCUAUAUCAUGUCAAAGGGUUUUGGAAAGCAUUCCAGGCGAAGAAAACAUCGUUUCUUUCAUGGGCUUAACAACCUUGGCUAAUCACUUGAUUCAUACUGUUUCCCCUAAUGCUGCUACUGCAGCUGUGGAACUCUCCCCGAGUCUUCUUGGCUAACAAGUUUCUUUGCAUCAUGUUGUCCCGGAGAUCGAUUCCUUGUUGCUUGUUCAGGCUAUUCGAGGAGGUACCAUGCGGUGGAUGCUUCUUAUUGGAAUGAAUUGUU
rnacentral:misc_RNA from 1 species